rnacentral:tRNA from 1 species
GGGCCCGUAGCUCAGCGGAUAGAGCAGCGGUUUCCUAAACCGCGUGUCGGAGGUUCGAUUCCUCUCGGGCCCACCA